GACAUGUCUUCAUUAAUAUAUAUUAAUUAAAUUUUAGUUUGUUAUUUCAAUAUACGUGUUUUUGUUUUGAUUUUUUGUCAUUUGAAGGCAUUUCUUUUAAUAACUAUAGAUUUACACAUAUUUCAGGAAUAAUGUUUGCAAAAUUUUGCUUGGUUCUACUGGUUGUGUGUCUAAGUGUUGGAUCUGUUUAGGCAAAUCCUACCGGAACGAAUUACUGCCAAAUGGUGACUCGUCUGCUUGUGCUAUGUAUUGUUUUACUGUUUGGCAGUCACGUGGUUGGUGUGGUUCAGAUAACAUAUGCCACUGUGAUCACUAAUCACGUGGCAAAUAGUCUUCGUGACAACCUGGAAAGGAAAUAAACCAGAACAGAUUUCAUUAACUGUAGCAAAUAAUGAAGAAAUAAAGUUUUCAUACAGCCUA